rnacentral:rRNA from 1 species
GGAUGCGAUCAUACAGGCACUAACGCAUCGGAUCCCAUCAGAACUCCGAAGUUAAGCGUGCUCGGGCGAGAGUAGUACUAGGAUGGGUGACCCCCUGGGAAAUCCUCGUGUUGCAUCCC